rnacentral:lncRNA from 7 species
ACACUCUUCCUGGAGCAUCUACCCUGCUUAUCUCUCCAACAUCAUGCUGCACAAGGCUGAGGUGUACUCCUGGUUUCAUCCACACAGUGUCACUGUAAGGAGCAAAAAUGAGAGCGUCGGCAUGCUUCACUCUUCUGUUUGGAGUUUCUUUUAUCACUCCACUCAGCUUAAUUAGAGAAGGCAGCCUGGUCAGAUUCACUUGUGCUUGCUUCUCCAUGCCCUGGUGGAAUACAGUCUUUUUUAUUUAAAUAAAAUCUUCUAAUUGGAAUG